GAUGAAGAACGUAGCGAAAUGCGAUAAGUAAUGUGAAUUGCAGAAUUCAGUGAAUCAUCGAAUCUUUGAACGCACAUUGCGCCCCCUGGUAUUCCGGGGGGCAUGCCUGUUCGAGCGUCAUUUCACCACUCAAGCCUCGCUUGGUAUUGGGCAACGCGGUCCGCCGCGUGCCUCAAAUCGUCCGGCUGGGUCUUCUGUCCCCUAAGCGUUGUGGAAACUAUUCGCUAAAGGGUGUUCGGGAGGCUACGCCGUAAAACAACCCCAUUUCUAAGGUUGACCUCGGAUCAGGUAGGGAUACCCGCUGAACUUAAGCAUACAAUAAGCGGAGGA
rnacentral:misc_RNA from 1 species